CCUACGGGAGGCAGCAGUGAGGAAUAUUGGUCAAUGGGCGAGAUCCUGAACCAGCCAAGCCGCGUGAGUGAAGACGGCCCUAUGGGUUGUAAACCUCUUUUGUCGGGGAACAAAACCCGGGGCGUGUCCCGGACUGCGUGUAUCCGAAGAAAAAGCAUAGGCUAACUCCGUGCCAGCAGCCGCGGUAAUAGGGAGGAUGCGAGCGUUAUCCGGAUUUAUGGGGUUUAAAGGGUACGUAGGCGGUUCGUUACGUCAGCGGUAAAAUGGCGGGGCUAAACCCCGUCGAGCCGUUGAAACUGGCAGACUUGAGUGGGGGAGAGGUAGGCGGAAUGCGCGGUGUAGCGGUGAAAUGCGUAGAGAUCGGGAAGAACUCCGAUGGCGAAGGCAGCGUACUGGCGCCAGACUGACGCUGAGGCACGAAAGCGUGGGGAUCGAACAGGAUUAGAUACCCCGGUAGUC
rnacentral:rRNA from 1 species